GGAGCCCAGAGCCUGAAUCAGUGUGUGUGUUAGUGGAAGCGUCUGGAAAGGCGCGCGAUACAGGGUGACAGCCCCGUACACAAAAAUGCACAUACUGUGAGCUCGAUGAGUAGGGCGGGACACGUGGUAUCCUGUCUGAAUAUGGGGGGACCAUCCUCCAAGGCUAAAUACUCCUGACUGACCGAUAGUGAACCAGUACCGUGAGGGAAAGGCGAAAAGAACCCCGGCGAGGGGAGUGAAAAAGAACCUGAAACCGUGUACGUACAAGCAGUGGGAGCCUCUUAAUGGGGUGACUGCGUACCUUUUGUAUAAUGGGUCAGCGACUUAUAUUCUGUAGCAAGGUUAACCGAAUAGGGGAGCCGAAGGGAAACCGAGUCUUAACUGGGCGUUAAGUUGCAGGGUAUAGACCCGAAACCCGGUGAUCUAGCCAUGGGCAGGUUGAAGGUUGGGUAACACUAACUGGAGGACCGAACCGACUAAUGUUGAAAAAUUAGCGGAUGACUUGUGGCUGGGGGUGAAAGGCCAAUCAAACCGGGAGAUAGCUGGUUCUCCCCGAAAGCUAUUUAGGUAGCGCCUCGUGAAUUCAUCUCCGGGGGUAGAGCACUGUUUCGGCAAGGGGGUCAUCCCGACUUACCAACCCGAUGCAAACUGCGAAUACCGGAGAAUGUUAUCACGGGAGACACACGGCGGGUGCUAACGUCCGUCGUGAAGAGGGAAACAACCCAGACCGCCAGCUAAGGUCCCAAAGUCAUGGUUAAGUGGGAAACGAUGUGGGAAGGCCCAGACAGCCAGGAUGUUGGCUUAGAAGCAGCCAUCAUUUAAAGAAAGCGUAAUAGCUCACUGGUCGAGUCGGCCUGCGCGGAAGAUGUAACGGGGCUAAACCAUGCACCGAAGCUGCGGCAGCGACACUAUGUGUUGUUGGGUAGGGGAGCG
rnacentral:rRNA from 1 species